CCUACGGGUGGCAGCAGUGGGGAAUAUUGGACAAUGGGGGGAACCCUGAUCCAGCCAUGCCGCGUGUGUGAAGAAGGCCCGCGGGUUGUAAAGCACUUUCAGUGAGGAAGAACGCCUGGUGGUUAAUACCCAUCAGGAAAGACAUCACUCACAGAAGAAGCACCGGCUAACUCCGUGCCAGCAGCCGCGGUAAUACGGAGGGUGCGAGCGUUAAUCGGAAUUACUGGGCGUAAAGCGCGCGUAGGUGGCUUGAUAAGCCGGUUGUGAAAGCCCCGGGCUCAACCUGGGAACGGCAUCCGGAACUGUCAAGCUAGAGUGCAGGAGAGGAAGGUAGAAUUCCCGGUGUAGCGGUGAAAUGCGUAGAGAUCGGGAGGAAUACCAGUGGCGAAGGCGGCCUUCUGGACUGACACUGACACUGAGGUGCGAAAGCGUGGGUAGCAAACAGGAUUAGAUACCCUUGUAGUC
rnacentral:rRNA from 1 species